AAUUUGAAUAUGGAUUGCAUUGAAAUCUAUGAUAAGCAUCGAAAUGAGGUUUAGUUUCUUCUUUGAUUUCGGAUGAGCAAGUGUGAAAAGCGCCAAAGUCAAAUUUAUCGAGAGCUGCAGAGAGGGAAUAAGAUCCUUGAUAACGAUGACGAUAGCAGCGAAGAGCAGAGAGAACACCACGGGUAGGCAUCAAUGCGUGAUAAACAAAGGAUUAUAUACUCCAGCAAAAACUAGUUUCGGCACUUCACCAAGGCAAACAAAGGAUUAUAUGCUCCAGCAAAAGUAGUUUCAGCACUUCACUAAGGCUUUAGGGUUUUGAGGUUCUAUAGUGAAAGUGAGCUCCAAAACUCAUUGCCGAAAAAUGGAG
rnacentral:misc_RNA from 1 species